rnacentral:tRNA from 1 species
GAGGGUGUAGCUCAGGGGUAGAGCGCGUGCUUAGCACGCACAAGGUCCUGGGUUCAAUCCCCAGUGCCUCUG